UGGGGAAUAUUGCGCAAUGGUCGAAAGCCUGACGCAGCGACGCCGCGUGAGGGAUGAAGGUUUUCGGAUCGUAAACCUCUGUCAGAAGGGAAGAAACCGCACUGUGCUAAUCAGCAGUGCCUUGACGGUACCUUCAAAGGAAGCACCGGCUAACUCCGUGCCAGCAGCCGCGGUAAUACGGAGGGUGCAAGCGUUAAUCGGAAUUACUGGGCGUAAAGCGCACGUAGGCUGCUUUGUAAGUCAGGGGUGAAAUCCCACGGCUCAACCGUGGAACUGCCUUUGAUGCUGCUUAGCUUGAAUCCGGGAGAGGGUGGCGGAAUUCCAGGUGUAGGAGUGAAAUCCGUAGAUAUCUGGAGGAACAUCAGUGGCGAAGGCGGCAACCUGGACCGGUAUUGACGCUGAGGUGCGAAAGCGUGGGGAGCAAACAGG
rnacentral:rRNA from 1 species